rnacentral:rRNA from 1 species
UGGGUGAUGGCGUGCCUUUUGCAGAAUGAACCGGCGAGUUAUUGUUGCAUGCAAGGUUAAGUUGAAGAGACGGAGCCGAAGCGAAAGCGAGUCUGAAUAGGGCGCUUUAGUAUGCAGUAAUAGACCCGAAACCGAGUGAUCUAUCCUUGAGCAGGUUGAAGUGGUGGUAACACACCAUGGAGGACCGAACCGACGUCUGUGAAAAAGGCGCGGAUGACUUGAGGAUAGCGGAGAAAUUCCAAUCGAACUCGGAGAUAGCUGGUUCUCCCCGAAAUAGGUUUAGGCCUAGCCUUCUAAUUAGUUACCUGGAGGUAGAGCACUGAAUGUAAGAUGGCGGCGUAUAGCUGUACUGAUUGCAAUCAAACUCCGAAUGCCAGGCUAAUAUGUAGAGGAGUCAGUGUAUGGGUGAUAACGUCCAUACGCGAGAGGAAAACAAUCCAGACCGCCAGUUAAGGUCCCAAAAUUUAUGCUAAGUGGGAAAGGAUGUGGAGUCGCUAGAACAGCUAGGAGGUUGGCUUAGAAGCAGCCAUCCUUUAAAGAGUGCGUAAUAGCUCACUAGUCGAGUGGCACUGCGCCGAAGAUGUACCGGGGCUAAAGCAUAAUACCGAAACUGCGGAUUACUUUGUAAUGGUAGGGGAGCGUUCUAAGUGCGCUGAAGGUUGAUCGUAAGGACAGCUGGAGCGCUUAGAAGUGAGAAUGCCGGUAUGAGUAGCGCAAGACGUGUGAGAAUCACGUCCACCGUUUGCCCAAGGUUUCCUGGGUCAAGUUCGUCUUCCCAGGGUUAGUCGGGUCCUAAGGCGAGGCUGAAAAGCGUAGUCGAUGGACAACAGGUUGAUAUUCCUGUACCACCUAUAUGACUGAUGGAGUGACGAAGGAGGCUAACAAGUGCCUGUUAUUGGAUUCAGGUCUAAGCACAAAGGCUUAUAUGUAGGGAAAUCCGCAUAUUGGUAGGCUGAAGUGUGAUGGCGAAGAGAGUAGCAAUACAAUCGAAGACUUGUGACGCCAAACUUCCAAGAAAAGCUUCUAGGGUUAAUCGUAUAGGUGCCCGUACCGAGAACCGCCACAGGUGGGCAAGGAGAGUAUCCUAAGGUGAGCGAGAGAACUAUGGUUAAGGAACUCGGCAAAAUAACCCCGUAACUUAGGGAGAAGGGGUGGUCUAGCGAUAGACCCGCAGUAAAGACGUCCAGGCAACUGUUUACCAAAAACACAGGUCUCUGCAAAGCCGUAAGGCGAAGUAUAGGGGCUGACACCUGCCCAGUGCUGGAAGGUUAAUAGGAGAGGUUAGUAUUUGACUUUGUCAACAUGAUACGAAGCUUUGAAUUGAAGCCCCAGUGAACGGCGGCCGUAACUAUAACGGUCCUAAGGUAGCGAAAUUCCUUGUCAGGUAAGUUCUGACCCGCACGAAAGGUGUAAUGAUCUGGAUACUGUCUCAACCAUAGGCUCGGUGAAAUUUUAAUACCUGUGAAAAUGCAGGUUACCCGCGACAGGACGGAAAGACCCCAUGGAGCUUUACUGUAGCUUGAUAUUGAAAUUUGAUAUUCUUUGUAGAGGAUAGGUGGUAGACUUUGAUACUAGGACGCCAGUUCUAGUGGAGUCGCCCUUGGAAUACCACCCUUGGAAUAUUAGAUUUCUAACCUAGGACCGUGAUCCGGUUCGGGGACAGUGUCUGGUGGGCAGUUUGACUGGGGCGGUCGCCUCCCAAAUAGUAACGGAGGCGCCCAAAGGUUACCUCAGAAUGGUUGGAAAUCAUUCGCAGAGUGUAAAGGUAUAUAGGUAGCUUAACUGCGAGACUUACAAGUCAAGCAGAUACGAAAGUAGGGCUUAGUGAUCAGGCGAUUCAGU